rnacentral:rRNA from 1 species
UACGUAGGGUGCGAGCGUUAAUCGGAAUUACUGGGCGUAAAGCGUGCGCAGGCGGUUGUACAAGACAGGUGUGAAAUCCCCGGGCUUAACCUGGGAACUGCACUUGUGACUGUACGACUGGAGUACGGCAGAGGGGGAUGGAAUUCCGCGUGUAGCAGUGAAAUGCGUAGAUAUGCGGAGGAACACCGAUGGCGAAGGCAAUCCCCUGGGCCUGUACUGACGCUCAUGCACGAAAGCGUGGGGAGCAAACAGGAUUAGAUACCCUGGUAGUCCACGCCCUAAACGAUGUCAACUGGUUGUUGGAAGGGUUUCCUUUCAGUAACGAAGCUAACGCGUGAAGUUGACCGCCUGGGGAGUACGGCCGCAAGGUUGAA